rfam:Komagataeibacter xylinus E25 chromosome, complete genome.
CCACCAGGCCCUCGUGAUUUGAUGCGGCCGGCUUGCGGCGAGGUAAAACAUACGCGCUAAAGAGGCCUGAUCCCGCCCGCA